rnacentral:rRNA from 1 species
GACGAACGCUGGCGGCGUGCUUAACACAUGCAAGUCGAGCGGAAAGGCCCUUCGGGGUACUCGAGCGGCGAACGGGUGAGUAACACGUGAGUAACCUGCCCCAGACUUUGGGAUAACCCUCGGAAACGGGGGCUAAUACCGGAUACGACACAGCUUCGCAUGGGGUCUGUGUGGAAAGUUUUUCGGUUUGGGAUGGGCUCGCGGCCUAUCAGCUUGUUGGUGGGGUGAUGGCCUACCAAGGCGACGACGGGUAGCCGGCCUGAGAGGGCGACCGGCCACACUGGGACUGAGACACGGCCCAGACUCCUACGGGAGGCAGCAGUGGGGAAUAUUGCACAAUGGGCGGAAGCCUGAUGCAGCGACGCCGCGUGAGGGAUGACGGCCUUCGGGUUGUAAACCUCUUUCAGCAGGGACGAAGCGUAAGUGACGGUACCUGCAGAAGAAGCGCCGGCCAACUACGCG